UUAAAAUUGUUGCAGUUAAAACGCCCGUAGUUGAAUUUCAAAGAACCGAUAUUUUAAUAAUGCUGUUAGCUAGAGCCACAAAAAGUCAAGCCACUAUGGUUUCGGUUUUAUGUGCGCAUCUCUACCUAUCAAGUGUUUUUUUAAUUAAAGUGUUUCUUUUUAAAAUCUUCUUUAGCUUAAAACAUAUGGAAGAUUUUGUUACUUUGAGUAAAUUAAAGUGUUCAAAGCAAACAGAUAUAGCAUAAUGCGUUUUGAAUACUACAGCAUGGAAUAACAAAAUUGAACAAGUCAAAACUAUGUUUCUUUUUUUUUAUUUUUGGCUCAGUUACGAUUAAUAGGAGUAGUUUGGGGACAUUUGUAUUCAGAUGUCAGAGGUGAAAUUCUUAGAUUUUCUGGAGACAAACAACUGCGAAGGCAUUUGUCUAAAAUACUUCCAUUAAUCAAGAACGAAAGUUAAGGGAGUGAAGACGAUCAGAUACCGUCGUAAUCUUAACCAUAAACUAUACCGACUAGGUUUUGGAUGAAAGUAAAACAAAUAAGGAUAGUCUCUUCGGGGAUAGUCCUUAGAUUUCUUCCUUCAGUACCCUAUGAGAAAUCAAAGUCUUUGGGUUCUGGGGCGAGUAUUCGCGCAAGCGAGAAAGUUAAAAGAAUUGACGGAAGGGCACCACCAGGCGUGGAGCUUGCGGCUUAAUUUGACUCAACACGGGAAAACUCACUAGUUUAAGACAAGAGUAGGAUUGACAGAUUGAGAGCUCUUUCUUGAUUUCUUGGAUGGUGAUGCAUGGCCGUUUUUAGUUCGUGAAUAUGAUUUGUCUGGUUAAUUCCGAUAACGAACGAGAUCUUAACCUGCUAAUUAGCGGCAAAUACGAUAUAUUCUUACGUGGAAUUGCAUACUUAUGGUUUGUCUCUAUUGAGCUGCAUAAUAAUGAAGGAUCGUGAUUGCUUUUCGUAUCAAUCUUUCUUAAUCGAAUCGUUGAUGUGUUUUGUAUUUCUCGUUCUUUCAUUACCUUGCAAUCACUCAUUUGCCUUAUCAUACUGUUUCUCUUUUGCGUAAGAAUGUAUUUGCUUGAUUGUAAAGCUUCUUAGAGGAACGAUGUGUGUCUAACACAAGGAAGUUUAAG
rnacentral:rRNA from 1 species